AGAGUGUUUAAAGCAGGCUCACGCUUGAAUACAUUAGCAUGGAAUAAUGAAAUAGGACAUCCGAUUCAUUUUGUUGGUUUCUAGGAUCGAUGUAAUGAUUAAUAGGGAUAGUUGGGGGCAUUAGGUACUCAAUUGUCAGAGGUGAAAUUCUUGGAUUUAUUGAAGACUAACUACUGCGAAAGCAUUUGCCAAGGAUGUUUUCAUUUAUCAGGAACGAAAGUUAGGGGAUUGAAGACGAUCAGAUACCGUCGUAGUCUUAACCAUAAACUAUGCCGACUAGGGAUCGGACGGUGUUAUAUCUUGACCCGUUCGGCGCCUUACGGGAAAC
rnacentral:rRNA from 2 species